UACGUAGGGUGCAAGCGUUAAUCGGAAUUACUGGGCGUAAAGCGUGCGCAGGCGGUUCGGAAAGAAAGAUGUGAAAUCCCAGGGCUUAACCUUGGAACUGCAUUUUUAACUACCGGGCUAGAGUGUGUCAGAGGGGGGUGGAAUUCCACGUGCAGCAGUGAAAUGCGUAGAUAUGUGGAGGAACACCGAUGGCGAAGGCAGCCCCCUGGGAUAACACUGACGCUCAUGCACGAAAGCGUGGGGAGCAAACAGG
rnacentral:rRNA from 1 species